UUCAUUUGAAGCUUUGAUUCAUUCCUUUGUUUUCGCUGCAGCAAGCUUGCCCUCGGCGGCAAAUUGUUAUCUCACUUCCCUUAGGCCUCUAUGACAGUUUGGGUAGUCAAAUCAAAUCUAUAUGAUUUUAUUUAAAUACUUCUAAUAUAAAAAAGUGAUAUCUUGAUUUUAAGUUCAUUCUUCAAGAUAUUGAUUGUUAAAUGGUCGGACAUUUUUGUUUUUAGCCUUAGUUUAGUGGGAUUAAGGGGACAAAUUAACAGUCAGAUUCAUCAUGUGAAAAGAUUAUGGACUGAAAUUGUUGCCGGAUUAGUGUAGAUGCAUAGUGUGAUAAUCGUUUACCAUUUACGGUGGUUUUCGAAGUAGAAGUAUGUGCAAAUUCCAAUUAUGAAAUUCUUGCUAAAACACAUGUUGACUAUGAAUAAAGUAUGCUAUAUGUAGAGUUCAGUGUAUACCCGGAUCAAUAUUAAACCAUAAAGAUAAAAUACAUACAAGAUUUUCUAUUGAAAAUAAGCUCUUUUUUUUUAACCAAUAAAAUGCUACUUUAUAUAAAAAUCAAAACAUAUGUACAACUGUGGGGGCUAGACCUGACCUAGAAACAGAACAAACCAAACCAAAAAAAUAAACAGAUCCAUUUUCAAGCUUUACAGCCGAUAUGGCCUUAUUGUGAGCAUCCAACUCUCCCAUCUCCCCAUAAUUCUCCUUUAUUUCUAUGGGAGAUGGAAUAACUGGGUCCCCUAAAUAAACCUUGGUUGUGAAUUGUCCUAUUUUUAGCGUAAUGGAACCAAGGGGAAUUUGUUUUGGCAUAGGUUUAUUAAUCUGCCCACUAUCAUCUAGUGGUGUGUCAAUUCCUCACCUGCUAUCCAUUUGACCCCAAGAUGAUUCACUUGUGCCUCCUUAGUACCCAUCAUUUUGUCCUGGUACGAAUCCUGCAGAGGUGCAUCCAGUUUAUUCAUUUUCAUUAGAAGGUUAUCUUUUUGGAUCUGUUGAAUGGUUGACUUGUUUUUGCUAAUAACAUUUUGUACGUCAGAAUAAUGCUUAGAGUGAUGAUUUGGAUGUGUAAUGAUACCUGACUUAGCUUCCUCAGUCUCCUUCCGCAUUCUGUUCUGUAUAUCAAUUGAAGUCUUGGAUGUAAUCUGAGCUUGAAUUUGUUGAUGCGGCAAUGUUGUAUCAUAUUUGCUCUCCAUAGAAACUGCCUUUAUGUUCUCCUUGAUUGAUGGACCAAUUUGUUGUUCAUGGUUGCCUUGUGGUCCUGAUUUUCUUCUAUGUUUAACUCUGGCUGUGGAAUGCCCUGUUGAUCGUUGAAUUUAGUACCUCAAAUGAAGUUUUUUGAGUUUGCAUGACAGGAAAUCCUGCUGCUUCUUUCUGCUGGGUGUUUCCUCUGUGUUUAUCCCUGCUAACAUGCCAAAAGAGUUAUGGUCUUCUACCAGUGCUGUUUGUGUGUUGCCUACAAUCUGCAUAGAUACUUUUGAAUUUUCUUUUUGUGGUUGGUUUUCCUGCCCCCGAGUUUCCUCUCUAUUAUUUGACUGCAAACCAACUGCCUGCCAACCUUCCAACUGCUUCAAUUUUGUAUCAUCCAUAUUACUUGACUGCAGACCAACUACCUCCAUGAUUUCCUGUUCGCUCCCUUUGUUGUUAAGCUGACUUUGCCGCAGUUCUUGGUUCAGCAUCUCUCCUUGUACAUGAAAGCCGGAGUGCUUUGUUUUUGAACUAUCUCUCUGUUUCUGUCAUGGUGUUCCUUUGGCCUGCCUUCACUUCUAACCAUUGCCUUGAUGUCUGCUUUGAACUUUUCUCCAUUUUAGAAUGUUAUGAUGCCCAAGAAUCUGACUAUUAUGGCAAAAUGCAGGCCGUCUCUCAUAUAUUAAUUCUAUCAUAAAAGCAAAUGAUGUUCCGAAGAGUUGGCUAGUUGUUUUUGCUUAGGAUCUGUGGCUUCCUUUAUUAUUAACUUCAUUUAGUUAUAAUCUAUCAGUUAUCAUGUAAAUGAAGGUAAAGAGGAGAGAGAGAUAUACGUGUAGAAUGUUCCUUCUUAUUAACUUUAAUUACCAUUUGAUGAGAUGUGAUUGGCACAAUCCUGACUUCUGAGCGCCUCGAAUUUUAAAUUUUAUUUUCUGCUUGUCUGAUUUUUUUAUUUUGG